rnacentral:rRNA from 1 species
GACGAACGCUGGCGGCGUGCUUAUGACAUGCAAGUCGAACGGCAGUCUUCGGACUGUAGUGGCGCACGGGUGAGUAACGCGUAACUGACCUACCCCAAAGUCGCGGAUAACGAUUCGAAAGAAUCGCUAAUACGUGAUGUGCUGUCAGAUCCUGUUCUGCCAGUAAAGAUUGAUUGCUUUGGGAUGGGGUUGCGUUCCAUCAGCUAGUUGGUGGGGUAAAGGCCCACCAAGGCGACGACGGAUAGCCGGCCUGAGAGGGUGGCCGGCCACAGGGGCACUGAGACACGGGUCCCAUUCCUACGGGAGGCUGCAGUUAGGAAUCUGCCACAAUGGGCGAAAGCCUGAUGGUGCGACGCCGCGUGAGGUAGUAAGGUCUUCGGUUCGUAAACCUCUGAAUCAGGGACGAAAGACACUUCGGUGGGAUGACGGUACCUGAGUAAUAGCACCGGCUAACUCCGUGCCAGCCGCCGCAGUAACAC